rnacentral:rRNA from 1 species
CGAAGUUUGAUCCUGGCUCAGAACGAACGCUGGCGGCGUGGAUAAGACAUGCAAGUCGAACGGGGCUUUGUUUGUAGCAAUACAAACAAAGUUCAGUGGCGAACGGGUGCGUAACACGUGAGCAAUCUGCCGGGAAGUGGGGGAUAGCUCGCCGAAAGGCGAAUUAAUACCGCAUAUGGCCAGGAAGGACAUUCUUCCGAAGCCAAAGCAGCAAUGCGCUUCCUGAUGAGCUCGCGGCCUAUCAGCUAGAUGGCGGGGUAAAAGCCCACCAUGGCUAUGACGGGUAGCUGGUCUGAGAGGACGACCAGCCACACUGGAACUGAGACACGGUCCAGACACCUACGGGUGGCAGCAGUCGAGAAUUUUUCACAAUGGGGGAAACCCUGAUGGAGCGACGCCGCGUGGAGGACGAAGGCCCUCGGGUCGUAAACUCCUGUCAUGCGGGAACAAGAAAGUGAUAGUACCGCAAGAGGAAGAGACGGCUAACUCUGUGCCAGCAGCCGCGGUAAUACAGAGGUCUCAAGCGUUGUUCGGAUUCUUUGGGCGUAAAGGGUGCGUAGGUGGCGAUGUAAGUCUGGUGUGACAUCUCGUAUCUUUUCCUCUAAAUUGCCCUGGAGGCCGCGUCGCCCGAGGAUUGUAAAGUAUCGUUGAAUUCUCUGUGAAGACCCAGAGGAGAACAAACUCGUUGAGACAAUGUAUUGCGAGGGAAACUCUCUGGUCUGCUCCCCGUGUUUUGCUACAAGACUUCAGAGCGCGACUGAAGUAAUGCCUUACGGGGAUUGCCUUCUCCUCAUCAGUGUUCCUCCUCAUAUGCUACGCAUUAUCACUGCACGCGCGUGAGUCGCAUCCCCUCUAGCGUACUCAUGGUAUGCAGAUAGAUGCAGUUCGAAGAUUAUGAUCCGUGGUAUUUACGUCUGCCUAAUAGCGCGGGCUUACAUUACCGCUCAGUCUUACAAUAUAUUACGCU